UGUGAGGCCCUGGGUUCGAACCGCAGCACUGCAAAUAAAUACAUAAAUGAAUGAGUAAAUAAAUAAUGCCCAUUGAUUUAAAAAAAAGCUCUGGGGCUGGGGUUGUGGCUCAGUGGUAGAGCGCUCGCCUACAUGUGUGAGGUUUGAUCCUCAGCACCACAUAGAAAUAAAUAAGUAAAAAAAACAAAGAUACUGUGUACAACUAAAAUAUUUAAAAAGAAAAAAACCUCUGUUAAGAAAGCCCGGGCAAUGGCAGCAUUAGAUGUGGGAAGUGCCUAUGGGAAGAGACCAGAAAAGCUACUUGGAGAAACUCCAUGUAGGCCAACCUGCUGUGUGACUUCUCCCAACCAGCUAUACUACUUAGCAUUUAUCCCAAAAGAUAAGUCAUACUGUAGUGAUGAAUGCAUACCCAUGUUGAUAGCAGCACCAUUCACAGUAGCCAAACUGUGGAACCAGCCUCGGUGUCCAUCAUUGAAUUGAUAAAGGAAAUGUGCUAUAUGUACACAAGAGAGUGUUAUUCAGCCAUAAAGAAUAAUAAAAUUAUGUCAUUUGCAGGAAAAUGGAUGGAACUUGAGAACAUUGUGUUAAGUGAAAUAAGCCAACUUCUGUUUUGCAGAAUUUUGAGAAAUUUGAGAAUUUACCUUAGAGUGCGCUUGCCCUUCAUCUCAGAGCCCCUUGGAUUUCAUGUGGGCUUCUGGGCUCUUGUUGCUUGGGUUUUUCUUUUUAAAACGGACUGCUGUGACUCAGGAGGCUGAGGAAGAAGGAUCACAAGUUCAAGGCCAGCCUCAGCAAGUUAGUGAGGCCCUAGCAAGUAGUAAGACCCUGUCUCAAAAUAAAAAAUAGAAAGGGCUGGGAAUGUGGCUCAGGGAUAGAGUGCCCAGGGUUUAAUCCCUGAUAUUAAAAGAGAAAGAGACUUGGCAGCCUGCUUCUGCUUUUUUUUUUUUUUUUUUUUAAUAAAAGCAAAUAUAAAUCUGCUUUAUAAAAGCAGAAUAUCAGUGACCAGGAGCUAGCAUUUGAGGGCUGACAGACUCAAUUUGAGCACCAAAUCUGCCACUUAUUAGCUAUGUGACUGUGGGCAAUGUUAAGACUGAAGCCAGACCAAUCACAGACUCCUCACUGAGGAACUGCCCCCCCAUCUCCACCCAUCACAAUGACAAGCAGGAGCUGGAUGUGCUCACAUCCCCAGGUUCACAGAUAAGGUUGUUGAAGUUUAAAGAUGUCAAAAAGGCACUCAGGGAGUCUUGAUUGCGCUGGGGGAUUUGAAUCUGGUUCUGAUGAACUAGUGCCAGCAACUCUGUUUUUACUGAGUUUAUUCAAAGUAAAACAUAAUAUAGAUGCCUAAAAAUGCCUGUCUCUUUCAAAAGUAAAAAGCAACUGCUUUUUUAAGAUGGAGUUUGCAUACAAUAAAAUCUACCAAUUCUGCAAUGCCCAAUGUUUUGACAAAUGUUUCCCAUUGUGUGACCCUACUGUAAUUGUGAUAUAGGUUAGUCCCAUCUCCCCAAAAGUUCUCCCCACAACCCUCUCCUCAGACCUCUG
rnacentral:lncRNA from 1 species